GCGGAUUGGAAGACAUUUGUUUAUGCAAUUUUGGGGUUUCUUAGCGGCAUUUGCCUCAAAUUACACUGCAAUGCCCUUGGAAAUCCCAAACAUGCAUGACGACUCAAAAUUUGAACGCGUU
rnacentral:precursor_RNA from 15 species